GGACAAGGAGAGGGACAGGGACAGGGUGAAGGUGGUGGUGGCUUGUCCAGGGUCCCCACCCAGGCCUCUUCCCUCAGCGCCGCGCCCCUGGGUCUGCAGCCUAAAAGCACAGUUGGUGUUUAUUAUUAAGGAAAUCGGUUUAAGCAACACCAACAGACACUAUUCUGCCCCACAAUCACAGACUCACUGAGGCUGGAAAACACCUCUGAGACCAUCGUGUCCAAUAUUUGACCGAUCACCACCUUGUCAACCAGCCCAGAGCACUGAGGGCCACAUCCAGUCAUUCCUUGAUGUGAUGGGGAAGGAAGCACCUAAGAUGGGUAAACAUUCAGAAAGUUUUAUCAGUAAAUUACACGCUUGGUAUGGAAAUUGGUGUAUUAAUGCCUGACCUACUAUAGUUGUCACACCUGAACACUUAAUAGUUAAGGUGUGACCAGGGGGGUGGCAGUGGAAGGAGCCUGACCAGCCACGAGGUCCCUUCCCCAGCACCUGUGGUUGGUCUGUGUGGAUGGGCUUUAGUCCUUCCACCUAACUGGGAGAACGUGUUCAAACUUUAGGUUUUUACUAAUAAAAUGGUAGAUUUGCAUCAUUUGAGCUCAUGUAAAAUCACAGAAAGCAGAGAUGGAGUGGAAAUUACGAUACCAAGUCCUGUCAUGGGCAGGAUCUGUUACGACUCACCUUUCUUAUGGCUUACACACCCUAAAAUCAAUCCCUUUUAAACUCAAUCUCUCUUAUAACAAGGCCACAGUUUUUCAGACCUUGUUGUCAAAAUACAUGGUAUAGCAAGGCAUGGGACUCUGCAUUUCCUAAUAAAAUUUUGCUCAGUUAAACCAAAGGCAAACAUGAAAUAGGGAAUCUGUGAAAAUUAUUCCGGUUUACCCUUUUCGAUCAGUUGAGGUAAAUCUUCUCAAGUCUUUGCCAUUGUAAAAAGCAGGCUUAAACUAAAGACUUAACUUUUCGGUGUUCCCAACUUGAGACACGUAGGGCUUUCUUUUUGUGGGUAUUUGGAGAACCCAGAAGUGCCAACAGCUCACAGAAUUGCUGACUUAGUGACAAGAUGAUCAAAGGAUGAAGCAUCUAUCACUUGAGGCACAUUUACACAUUUCUUAGCUCCUGCUUAGGCUCUUAGUAGAUGGAUAUUACAAGCAUUCAACACAUAAAUCCCUUUGAAAACCUAGUCCUGUGGGAACUGAGCUCUUGAGACUCUGCCCUGCUCUGUGUUCAUAUGGGUACCCCAAAGCACCCACAUUAGCACUUAUUUUCAUCUGUUUGCCUCAUCACUAUUUUGCCUCAUGUUGAGGCAAAACUCUGGCACGUUUUGGAUGGUCCAGGAUCAAACUGAGUGCAGCAUCACUCCAGCUGCAAAUAGAAAGUAAGAUGAUAUCAAGCUUGAUAUCUGUUGUACCUACAAGUGCUUAUUAAGGAAUGAAUAUCGUAUCACUUCCAUCGCUUCAAUUUACAAUUAGAAUUGCAACAUUUCAAAACCUUUAUUAGAACUCCUGAGCUUACAUUCUAAAUGGGUUUUGUAUGUAGUUUGAAGAGCAUAAAAACCCUCAAGGGGCUUGUGCUUUUAUUUUUCCUUCUUGUUCUUCUAUCUAGAGCUGUACUAGCCUUAUAGAUAUGGUUCUUACCUAAUCUUUCCUGCUUUUUCUGGACAGUAAUUGGAUUUGACAGAGGCAAAGGUUUAAGUAGUAUCUAUCAGAAUGUCUUCUAACCUGGAACAAUUGAGUAACUUCCUCUGUGCCUCCCAGAAUGUCCCAUUUCAUUCUAAUCACUUGUAGUUCUUAUAGCCUUGAUCUCCAAGGAUUUCCCAGCAUGACUCAGCUCAAUCUUCAAAGAGGUGAAGAAGGUUUGGCAGCAGUUUGCAGUCAGAGGAACAGACCUGUUGCAGUGAAGAAUCAGCAAAGACCAGGAUUCCUGAACGUCAAUCCCUGUGGUGCUCAUGUUGGACAAGUGCAGUAUUGAGGAACCAGUGAGGCAGGUGAGCAGAGACUAUUUCUGCAAUAAGCUUCUCCAGAAAUAAUGCUCCUAAAAUCCCAUGAAUUUUUAUUAAAUUUACUUGGCCUACAAGUCUAACAUGGGCAUUUUCAGCAGCAGACAUGAGUGAAUGGAAGAUGCAUCUUCCUGGAGAGCAUGUGCUGUGUUAGUACAGGAGGAGGAGCAGCUGUCCCCCUGCAGUCUGCCUGAAAUUUAAUCCUGUAGGGUUUCUGAAAAAGAGAAGUUUGAAGCUUUUCUUUGAACAGUAACAUCCAGAGACAAGGAGUGAAUGUGGACAUGCUGUGGUUGCUGGAGUCCAGGAGGAAGCUGAGUGAGACUGGGGUUGUUUGGUUGCAAAGAGCACAGUGAAAUAAUUCACACAACACAUCUUGGAGAGAAGAAGUAUUUUCUUUUUACCAGAGGAAAAUAAACGGGUGGAGAAAGAGGAUAAGACCCAAUUACAAAUCUUUUACUGCCACUUGCCACAAAUUGCAGAGCUUUGGAGGAGGCCACUGCACACUCCAACAAGUCCCUUGGUGUGGAUGAUCCGAGGGACAGGACUGUGACCAAACUGAGGAAGGUGAAGGCCAGGGAAGCAGAAAUUGCACACACCAUGGAGGAGGGACUCGGUGGCUCAGGACAGGGAGCCUUGGGCUCAUUCAAAAG